AGUGAACGCUGGCGGUAGGCCUAACACAUGCAAGUCGAACGGCAGCACAGUAAGAGCUUGCUCUUACGGGUGGCGAGUGGCGGACGGGUGAGGAAUACAUCGGAAUCUACUUUUUCGUGGGGGAUAACGUAGGGAAACUUACGCUAAUACCGCAUACGACCUACGGGUGAAAGCAGGGGGUCUUCGGACCUUGCGCGAUUGAAUGAGCCGAUGUCGGAUUGGCUAGUUGGCGGGGUAAAGGCCCACCAAGGCGACGAUCCGUAGCUGGUCUGAGAGGAUGAUCAGCCACACUGGAACUGAGACACGGUCCAGACUCCUACGGGAGGCAGCAGUGGGGAAUAUUGGACAAUGGGCGCAAGCCUGAUCCAGCCAUACCGCGUGGGUGAAGAAGGCCUUCGGGUUGUAAAGCCCUUUUGUUGGGAAAGAAAAGCAGCAGGUUAAUACCCCGCUGUUCUGACGGUACCCAAAGAAUAAGCACCGGCUAACUUCGUG
rnacentral:rRNA from 1 species